GAUGAACGCUGGCGGCGUGCCUAAUACAUGCAAGUCGAGCGAACAGAUGAGGAGCUUGCUCCUCUGACGUUAGCGGCGGACGGGUGAGUAACACGUGGAUAACCUACCUAUAAGACUGGGAUAACUUCGGGAAACCGGAGCUAAUACCGGAUAAUAUAUUGAACCGCAUGGUUCAAUAGUGAAAGACGGUUUUGCCGUCACUUAUAGAUGGAUCCGCGCCGCAUUAGCUAGUUGGUAAGGUAACGGCUUACCAAGGCAACGAUGCGUAGCCGACCUGAGAGGGUGAUCGGCCACACUGGAACUGAGACACGGUCCAGACCCCUACGGGAGGCAGCAGUAGGGAAUCUUCCGCAAUGAGCGAAAGCCUGACGGAGCAACGCCGCGUGAGUGAUGAAGGUCUUCGGAUCGUAAAACUCUGUUAUUGGGGAAGAACAAAUGUGUAAGUAACUAUGCACGUCUUGACGGUACCUAAUCAGAAAGCCACGGCUAACUACGUG
rnacentral:rRNA from 1 species